rnacentral:rRNA from 1 species
UACGUAGGGUGCGAGCGUUGUCCGGAAUUAUUGGGCGUAAAGAGCUUGUAGGCGGUUUGUCGCGUCUGCUGUGAAAAUCCGGGGCUCAACCCCGGACUUGCAGUGGGUACGGGCAGACUAGAGUGUGGUAGGGGAGACUGGAAUUCCUGGUGUAGCGGUGAAAUGCGCAGAUAUCAGGAGGAACACCGAUGGCGAAGGCAGGUCUCUGGGCUGACACUGACGCUGAGGCGCGAAAGCUAGGGGAGCAAACGGG